UGUCCUGACUGCAUGACCUCCUCAGGCUGCUGCUGCUCACAUGCCAAGGAAAGGACUGGCUGGGAGAAUCCUUGGGACCUGGGAGAGGCCUAACCCCCGAAGGCACAUAGGCUUUGCCUGGAGUAUGCAACUUGCUCCCUGGGUUCUCUGGUGCCUGAGGAGGAGGUAGCUGGCCAUGGCUUCAUUGAAUUUGUGAUUUUGCAGGGACACCCAGGCAUUAUAGGGUUCGUAAUCCAUGUCAAACAUAAUGGUCGUGAUGGCUGGGUCAGGGUGUUUGGGGCGUGGCUCGCUGGAAGGACUGGGUUAAGAUUCCUGGCCCUGGCUCAGCGGUGAGUGUCCCAUCACCUGCUCUAGGUGGGCCUCUGAGUGGGGUCCACCGUCAGCAUUUGCUGGAUGAGGUUGCAGGCAUCCUCGGAAACAUGUGGGGGAAGAUCAUAGCUUGCCUGUACCAUCAGCUUCUGCAGCUUCCUAGAGGUGCUUGCCUUAAAUGGGUGUCUCCCUGUGAGCAUAAAAAAGAGAGUGACACCCAGGCUCCAUAUAUCUGCUAGGGGACCCUAGUAUUCUUGCCCCUGGACGAUUUCAGAGACACAGUAUGGGAGAGUGCCCCAGAAUCUGUUCAGCUUCUGCCCAGGUGCAAAGAUGGGGCUCAGACCAAAGUCAAUGAGUUUGAUGCUGUUGCUCCUGGCAUCCACCAUGACAUGGUCUGGCUUCAGGUCCAGGUGAAUGAUGCCCUUCUUGUGGCAGUGAUUCUUACCCAAACACUCUGUAGGCUUUCUCCUCCUUCAGACCACUGGCUACAAGGAUACAACACCAUAGCUCUUCCCUACCUGCAUGCUCCAUGACCAGGUAGAUGUUGUGGGUGGUCUUGAUGACCUGGAAGAGCUGGAUCACUUUUAGGUGUUUCAGGGCCAUCAACCUAUCAAGUUUGGAUAGGAAGGGCAUGUUCCCUUCUGACUUCUGCUUGACUUUUACUGCUACCUCUGCCCCAGUGAGGAGAUGGUGGGCUAGUACCACCUGGCAGAAUCCCCCUUGCCCAAUAUCCC
rnacentral:lncRNA from 1 species